rnacentral:rRNA from 1 species
UACGUAGGGGGCUAGCGUUGUCCGGAAUCAUUGGGCCUAAAGCGCGCGUAGGCGGCCCGGUAAGUCCGUUGUGAAAGUCAAAGGCUCAACCUUUGAACGCCGAUGGAUACUGCCGGGCUAGAGUCCGGAAGAGGCGAGUGGAAUUCCUGGUGUAGCGGUGGAAUGCGCAGAUAUCAGGAGGAACACCAAUAGCGAAGGCAGCUCGCUGGGACGGUACUGACGCUGAGGCGCGAAAGCGUGGGGAGCGAACAGG